rnacentral:rRNA from 1 species
AUUGAACGCUAGCGGGAGGCCUAACACAUGCAAGUCGAACGGAGGGGCGAACGGGGGAGGAAGGGAACGGAACGUGCACAGUAGCGGGGGAGAAAUACGCGAAAGCGGAGCUAAAACCGCAAACUAUUGGAGGGGCAGAGAUCGGAUUAGCAAGUGGGGGGGGUCACGGCUCACCAAGGCGACGAGCCGUAGCUGGUUUGAGAGGACGACCAGCCACACUGGGACUGAGACACGGCCCAGACUCCUACGGGAGGCAGCAGUGGGGAAUUUUGGACAAUGGGGGAAACCCUGAUCCAGCCAUCCCGCGUGUGCGAUGAAGGCCUUCGGGUUGUAAAGCACUUUUGGCAGGAAAGCGGUACCUGCAGAAUAAGCACCGGCUAACUCCGUGCCAGCCGCCGCGGUAAUAC